UACGGAGGGGGCUAGCGUUAUUCGGAAUUACUGGGCGUAAAGCGCGCGCAGGUGGCGCAGUAAGUGGCUGGUGAAAGCCCUCGGCUCAACCGAGGAACUGCCUGCCAAACUGCUGCGCUUGAGGCCGGGAGGGGGAAGCGGAAUUCCUGGUGUAGCGGUGAUAUGCGUAGAUACCAGGAGGAACACCGGUGGCGAAGGCGGCUUCCUGGACCGGUUCUGACACUCAUGCGCGAAAGCGUGGGGAGCAAACAGG
rnacentral:rRNA from 1 species